rnacentral:rRNA from 1 species
CUUGAACGCUGGCGGCAGGCCUAACACAUGCAAGUCGAACGAGUGGCGGACGGGUGAGUAAUGUCUGGGAAACUGCCUGAUGGAGGGGGAUAACUACUGGAACCGGUAGCUAAUACCGCAUACCAUCGGAUGUGCCCAGAUGGGAUUAGCUAGUAGGUGGGGUAAAGGCUCACCUAGGCGACGAUCCCUAGCGGGUCUGAGAGGAUGACCAGCAAAACUGGAAAUGAUACCACGGCAGUACUCAUAAGGGCGCCAGCAGUGGUGAAUAUUGGCCAAGGGGCGCAAGCCGGAUGCAGCUAUGCCGCGUGUAUGAAGAAGGCCUUCGGGUUGUAAAGUACUUUCAGCGGGGAGGCGUUAUCCGCAGAAGAAGCACCGGCUAACUCCGUGCAAACAGCCGCGGUAAUAC